GGACCCGCACAAGUAGUGGAGCAUGUGGUUUAAUUCGAAGAUACGCGCAGAACCUUACCAACACUUGACAUGUUCGUCGCGACUCUAAGAGAUUUAGAGUUUCGGUCGGCCGGAACGAAACACAGGUGCUGCAUGGCUGUCGUCAGCUCGUGUCGUGAGAUGUUGGGUUAAGUCCCGCAACGAGCGCAACCCUCACUUUUAGUUGCCAUCAUUUAGUUGGGCACUCUGAAAGAACUGCCAGUGAUAAGCUGGAGGAAGGUGGGGAUGACGUCAAGUCCUCAUGGCCCUUACGUGUUGGGCUACACACGUGCUACAAUGGUAUCUACAACAGGAAGCAAAACGGCGACGUUAAG
rnacentral:rRNA from 1 species